rnacentral:misc_RNA from 1 species
CCGAGUGUAGGGUUCCUAGCGAGCCCAACCUCCCACCCGUGUUUACUGUACCUUAGUUGCUUCGGCGGGCCCGCCGCAAGGCCGCCGGGGGGCAUCCGCCCCCGGGCCCGCGCCCGCCGGAGACACCACGAACUCUGAACGAUCUAGUGAAGUCUGAGUUGAUUGUAUCGCAAUCAGUUA